rnacentral:rRNA from 1 species
UACGGAGGGGGCUAGCGUUGUUCGGAAUUACUGGGCGUAAAGCGCGCGUAGGCGGACCUGCAAGUCGGGGGUGAAAGCCCGAGGCUCAACCUCGGAAAUGCCUUCGAUACUGCGGGUCUCGAGUCCGGGAGAGGUGAGUGGAAUUCCUAGUGUAGAGGUGAAAUUCGUAGAUAUUAGGAAGAACACCAGUGGCGAAGGCGGCUCACUGGCCCGGUACUGACGCUGAGGAGCGAAAGCGUGGGGAGCGAACAGG